UCAAGUCCAAAUAAUGCUUCCAAAUCACGAUGUGAGGAGACUUUCAUUAUUGUUAUCAUGACAACGGAUAGACAAGUAACAGCUGUAAGUUCAGACCAGUUAUCUGA
ensembl:lncRNA